rnacentral:snRNA from 1 species
GACCAUGUGUGCCUCCCCUGAAGCUGCAGUGCUCCACUGAAGAGGAUGUCCACCCUGAUAGAGGAGGACUGUUCUUCAGGCAAGGGUAUACCAGUAACUGUGCUCCCAUGCUAGACCUCCAAACAAGCUCCCAAGAUGAGAGAGCCUGUUUGCCUGGUGAUAGAAUAUUCCAGGAAACUAACAUGUGUUCUU